CAUCCUCCAAGGCUAAAUACUCCUGACUGACCGAUAGUGAACCAGUACCGUGAGGGAAAGGCGAAAAGAACCCCGGCGAGGGGAGUGAAAAAGAACCUGAAACCGUGUACGUACAAGCAGUGGGAGCACCUUCGGGUGUGACUGCGUACCUUUUGUAUAAUGGGUCAGCGACUUAUAUUCUGUAGCAAGGUUAACCGUAUAGGGGAGCCGAAGGGAAACCGAGUCUUAACUGGGCGUUAAGUUGCAGGGUAUAGACCCGAAACC
rnacentral:rRNA from 2 species